CUAAUGAAAAACAUAGUUUAUUUUGCAUGUUUUAGUUAACAUGGACUGAAACAAAAAACCUCAUUCAUAAUUUAAGAGUCAUAUUUUUCAUGCCCCUGGGGAAACUAUUCAUGGAUAAACAAAAUCUCAGUUUGCAGAGACAAAAACAAAGUUGGAGCUCAUAAAAGGAAAUAACUUAGUGUUCUGUAAAUAAUUCAUGCGGCUUUUCUUCCUCUCUGAUGAGAGAGAUUGAGGAUGAUCUUGAAUUAUGUAGAAGCUGAUCUUUCAGGGGAGUGUAAUCAUUUCAUACGUGUCUGCCUGAAAAUGAGGGGCAACUGAGAUGAGGAGACCAUCUUUCCCACAUCCUAAAGCCUCCCAGAUGCCACAGAGAGGAAAGACUCUUUCCCUGUACACCCCCUGUGCCUGUCCCAGAAUAUUUACUCCCAGGGCCCUCACCCUACCCAGUGCUGUGCCUGGCACAGGGAAGGUGCUUAGCAGUCUCCGAUUUAGUAGUUUAGUAAAACUACACUUCAGUAACAUGAAAAUGAAAAACAUUCUAUCCCAGAAAUAAAAUAAGACAUAUCCCUUCAAAUAUUUAAUUUUGGGGGAAGGAUAUAUGACUCGGCAUUCCUCCAUCUUAACCGAUUUAUUAAGUAAUUGCAGUGGUUGUCAUUGAAAGUAAUGCGCCAACCCAAUAUUUUAAAUGGACAGUAUAUACUUAGGAGAAAUACUUUAAACAAAAGCAUGGCUGUAAACCUUUUUACUGAAACAGUUUUUAAUAUAAGUGUCCUUUUUAGUGGUUUGGAAAAAUGACUAUACUUUUUUUUUUUUAAUGGGAAAUCUACAAGUAAAAAUAUUAACAAAAAUAAAAGAAAAUGCUCUAUAAUGGAUAUUCUACUCAGCACACAGGAUCGCAUGAGACUGUCUUUGCUUUUAUUUAACAAGAGGCGAAAUGAGUAUAUGCUGUAAUUCUGCACCUGUUCUAUGUAUCUUGCCUGCGGGGAGAUACUCUCUAUAAAACUAUGCACUCCAUAGCUCCUGUGAUGAACAGCAUUCAAAUUCUGCCUGUUAUGAGGUGUAAUUCAAUAAGCACCUUUUGCUGAGCAGCUCUUUGCAGGAUACGUGAAGGGCUGAGCUAAGAAUAAAAGCCCUUUUGGCAAUCUGAUACUUCGCCUUCUCUUCCACUCAGUUCUCAGUCGAUCUCACCAUCAGAUACCCUGCCAAAGGCAUCACUCUCUCACCAGUCACUUGCUCACAUAUUUAUGCCAGUAACAGUGCUGGGUGGGGAAAUAUGAUGGUAAAGUACAAUCCUAUUUUAAGUUUCUUAUCUACCACUUAGGAAGGGUCCCCAGAUGGCAAGCUAGCUAAAAUUAUUAUUAUGCUACUGAGGAAAAAAAAAAUAGAUGACUCCUCUGUGGAAUCUUACCAGCUCACAGUGAGUGAGGCUAGUCUUACGUUAAAAAAACCAACUCAAGAUUAUCAAAAGAAUGUCAUCAAACUCAAAAAAAAACUACUAUAUUAAUAAUAUAACUUUUUUCCACUGUGACCUAUGUCACCCAUAAAACAAAGCUCCUGUUUUUAGAUUUAACCAAAUUCCUUAAUUCUUUAAUUUAUUAUAACAAAUAUAUAACAAGUAUAAUAGUACUUUUUUUACUUCACAGAAAUAUUUGUUGUAAAAGUGAGAAACAUUAAGAAUUAUAUAAAAUAGAAAAAGAAAACCUCUUGUAAUCUCAUCUCUCUAAAAUUAAUUAUUGUCUAAAAUUUGGUAUAUCUGUCCAUGUAUUUUCUAUAAAUAUUACAUGUAUUAUUAUUAUAUAAAUAUUUUGAAAAACAAACCCAGGAUCAUUUUAUAUCAAUUUCUUUGUAGUUUUAUAUCAAUUUCUUAGCACUUUUAUAUCAAUUUCUUUGUAGCAGUUUUGUUCAUUCAAUAUUGACUGGGUGCCUGCUAUGCAUUAAACACUAUUUUACGGCUUCCGCCCUGUCUGGGACGUGAGGAGUGUCUCUGCCCGACCGCCGCCCCAUCUGGGAAGUGAGGAGCGCCUCUGCCCGGCCGCCCCACCGUCUGGGAAGUGAGGAGCGCCUCUUACUGGCCACCCCGUCUGGGAAGUGAGGAGCGCCUCUGCCUGGCUGCCGCCCCAUCUGGGAAGUAAGGAGCGCCUCUGCCAGGCCGCCCCACCGUCUGGGAAGUGAGGAGCGCCUCUUACCGGCUGCCCCGUCUGGGAAGUGAGGCGCGCCUCUGCCCGGCCGCUGUGCAACCUUCCAAGUGUGAAGUGACAGCCUUGUGUGUGAUCUUUUCUGUCUUCCCCAAGUUUGCAUUUUCAACAUUAAACUUUACUUUUUAGUUAAAAAAACAAAACAAAACAAAACACUAUUUUAGGUGCUGGGAAUAUAGCAGUGAACAAAGCACAGAACUCUGCCUUCAUGGAGCUUGCAUUCCAGCAGGAAGAUCGAGACAAGAAACAAUACAUGUAACAGAUAAGCAAUUCACGAGGUUUAUUAGAAGGUGAGAAGUAUAUUGAAAAAUGAAAAAGCAGAACAAGGUGAGGAACUUCAGUUGUGGGCAGAAGGGAAGCAGGUUGCAGAAGGAAACAUGAGUGCAGCAGGUGAGGCAGGUGACAUUGUCUUUCCAAAAACUGGAUUUUACAUAUUUGAAUAGUUCUUCCAAUAAUCAUUCACGGUGUCUUAUCUUUCGAGUAGCAUUUCUUUUUUUUUUUUUUUUGAGACACGGUCUCACUCUCACCCACUCCCUCUGUCUCACGGUGUCACUCUGUCAUUCCACCCAGGCUGGAGCGCAGUGGUGCAAUCACGACUCAUUGCAGCCUCAACCUCCUGGGCUCAAGCAAUCCUCCCACCUCAGCCUCCUGAGUAUCUGGUACUACAGGAAUGUGCCACCAUGCCUGGCUAAUUUUUAUUUUUUGUAGAGAUGAGGUUUCACUGUGUUGUCCAGGCUGGUCUUGACCUCUUGGGCUCAAGUGAUCCUCCCACCUUGGCCUCUCAAAGUGCUGGGAUUAUAGGUGUGAGCCACUGUGCCUGGCCUGAAGUGCUAUUUCUUUAACAGCUGCUUUUGGUAUCAAUACCCUGUUGGUUAUUAGUUUAAAAUUUUAGUCAAUGAUGCUUUUUGGGUGGGUGUGAAGGGGGAAGAAAAUCUUGAGCAUGUAAUGACUUAAAUUGUUUCCCAAAUCAAAUUAAAUUCUGGGCCAGUAUAAGACCUACACACUCACAUUUCACAAGUGAGGGCAUGGAUGGGGGUAGGGGCAGGCAGGGAAAGGAGAAAAGAGGACAAUCAGCACCCCUGAGGGGCUGAACAUAGGGGGCAUCCAAAACGUGCUUGCUGUGGGAAGAAUGGCCUCAGGAAAUCCUGACCCAAAUCCUGCACACAGUGUGGGCAGAUCUCACCUAUUCUGUUAAAGGGUCCAAUCAUUUUUUGUUUUAACCUGAAGGAUUUAAAUUGAAGUAGCAUAGGUAUAACUUAUGAAGUAUUCAAAGUGUCCUAGCUUACUCACUCUCUCAUUUUUUUAAUUUUUAAUACCGUUAGCUGUUUUUUAAUAACUGGCACUCAGAUAGUGUAUAAUUAUUCUACUAUACAUGUCUCCGGGAAAAAAAAAUUCUUUCUCCAUGUGGCGAGGCAAGGAAGUCUUCGUGUUCCACCACCGCAGGCUGUUUGGCAGGAGUGGUCUGUUUAAUGAUCUCCCCCAGCUGUGCUCACUGAGUCAGUGAGCUCUGCAUCUGCCUCUCUGUCUGCAUGUUGUCUGGGCUGUGAUCCAUGUGAGGAGUGCAGAUUAGUGGGGAGGAUAAACAGCAUCACUUCAAUGAGACGGUGGAGCCAGAGGCCUGUUUUUUAUCUUAUGAUGGUGUGCAAGCUUCUCUCUAGCAACCUCCAAACAGUCACUGAAUUAAUGGCUAUUUUCAAGGGAGAGAAAAGACUCUCAGGCUAUGUCAGAUUCUCAGAGUUUGGUAAUCUGGAAAGGGUUAAGAACUUGCUGCCAUAAUUCUAUCACAGACUGCUCUUGCUUCUACAGAAAAACAAAAAACAAAAAACACGGAGCAUCUUAAGAAGAAUCUCCUAUCUGAAUCUAAGACAAGAAAAUGGCAUUUUUGUCUACUUUUAUUUGCAGUGAUGGCAUUUUUGUCUACUUGUAUUUGCAAUGUUUAUUCUGUCUUCCCUCUACCCCCUCACACCAGCACCAAUUAUUCCACACCUGCUGGUGAACAAGCAGAGGCCUCUUUACACCUAUAUCCGCAUGGUCUUCAUUACUGGAUUGAGAAAAACACUGAUGAUGAAGUAGUUUUCCGCCCAUUACCUGUCUCUAAUAAUAUGCUUGUCAUCACAAUUAGUUUCACCAUCCCUGGCUUGCUUUUCUGUCAUUUCUUUCCCUUGAGUUCUGUUAAUAGCAGAAAUUGGCUGCUAAACUAUUAUUCUGGUCUGUGUAAUGGGGCUGAUGGCAGAAACAUUCUGCUUCUUUUGACAACUGGGUAUGAUUUGUAAAGGUGUGAAGAAGAAUUGCUAAUACUUCUGGGCUCCAUUACAUUAACCUGGAAGGCAUUCUACCCAAGAAAUGAAUCCAAUAUUAAAUUGCCUGUUUUAUGAGUUUUUAUUUAAUAAUUUUUCUAAUCUUUACAAUGUUUUCAUAGCUUCAGUAUUUUCAGAUCUCUAUUUCCUGAGAUUAAUAUGGCAACUUCAUUUUAUGAAUGCUAUUUUAUUAGAUUUUCUUUAUUUUUGAGGUAAGAGAAACGGAAGGGAAGAGUUAUUUGUAAGUUUCUCUUCUUUCUCCUGUGUUCCUCUCCCAGUUUCUGCCUGGUGUCUGGAUGAUUAGGCAAGGUUUCCCAGGACCAUAAACCUUUAUUUACAAUGACAAUGCUACCAAAAUACCACCAAAAAGUCACAAAGCCCCAAAUCAAAAAGCAAACAAAAAUCCCUCCACAGGUCAAGGCAUUCAGAGGUGAUCCUGAAGGCCUUUGGAGGGCAUAAGUAGGGAGGCAAAAAGCACCAGUGUGCAUUCUAGAAACUCCCCCUAGGUAGCCACAGUAUGGAUUGUGAUAGGAUUGUCUGAGUGGGCUCAAUUUGGGAGGCCACUGCAGUCAUCAGAGUGUAAAGGCCUAAAGUGGGGCAGAAGAGGGAAGGAUGAAAAGGAGAGGCAGAGUCAAGAACUAUUUGGAAGGUAAAACCAGCAGGAGUUGGUAACUAAUUAGAUGUGAAGGCAGAGAAGUAACAAUAAUAACUACUAAUUAAUGAUCAUAGGGCUUUCCUGCAUAAUCACAUUUAACCCUUGCAAUACCCUAGGUGAGGAGUAGUAUUACGUCUAAACAAAUGAGGAAACAGAGGCACUGUGAGGUUAAGAAAAUUGCCCAAGGUCAUGUAACAAAUAUGGUAGACCCUGGCAGACUCCAAAUCUGAACAGCUAGCCACUGUGUGACACGGUGAGAAGACUCAAGGAUGAUCUCUGGGUUUCUCCAGGAAAGGCUGGUGUGUGUGUGAUGGUGUCAAUAGUGAGUUGCAAAAUAUAGGAAGAAAGAAGAUUUAGAAAGAAGAUAGUAUUCAGCUCAGUAUAACCCCAUAGUCCAGAGCAAUGGUUAAAGUCAGAUAGCACAAGCAAAUUACACACUUUGCUAAAAGACGCCCCAAUAAUUAAAUGUUGUUCAAUGAAGUGGUAGAAAUCAAGAAAUGGAAAAGGCUGAGUAUGAAGCAUGAGACUGUAUUCAUGCUUAAAGUAUAUUGUUGACCUUCCUUUUUGAAGAUGACUAUAAUUAUCUGCUAGAUGAUACAAAAUAAAUUCUCAGCAAUUAUUAGUUGAGUUGCCAUCCCCAUAGAAACUAGCAAGUUCUACAAAAGGUAAUAUUUCUUUAGCUUGCUGCUGUUGGGUUUAUCUAUCCCUGUCCUUCUCUGAAUCUUGUUAAUACCAAAAAGGUUUAUAUAAGAAAAUGGUAUUAUCAAAGACUUGAAAAGUUUUUAAAGUGUUGCCUGGUUAAGGAUUCAUGAAAAUAUUGGGUAGCAACAUUAUACAGUGAAAAAUAAACUAGGCUUAGAAUAAAAACACUAAGUUUGAAUCCUGACUUGAACAAUUGUUUUAUGACACUGGGCAAGUGAUCCAUAGAUCUCUCUCAGUCUCACUGUCUUCAUUUGCAAACUUAGGCCAAUGAUAACUCACAGACGGUUGUUGCAAUUAUUAAAUAAAAUAAUGUAUGUCUCAGUAUUUAGCAGAGCAUUAGGUACACUGCAGAAGCUUAAUAUAUUCAAAUGUUUUUCCUUCCACCCUUUAUGGACAAAAGCCAUGUAUGUCUUUUAGUUUAUACGCUAAAAUGUUGUGUGUCAGUUACAAUGUUCUGUGCAUGAUGAAUAUUUAAUAAUGUGUAUGUUUGUUUUCAUUUUAAACACACCUGUGCUAUGCAGAAUGUGGCUGUGAAAUCACAGAGCCUGUACUAUUUUGAUGCAUGUUAAACAUUUAUACAGUGACAGUUAAGCUUUUGAAAAUUCUAUUAAGUUUAUAUGUUCACAAAUUCCACCCAAAUAAGUCAACAGCAGUAAAAGAAAUCUUAUCAAUGACAAGUAGAGCAGCUUAGUUUGACAAAUCAAAGAUAAGCUUUACCAUCACACUCUCCAACGGAACAGUUAGAGGAAAGAAAACAUACUCUCUGCCUUCUGGGAUAUUUAAUUGUACUGAUCUUGGCAGCUAACUUGUAUCUGUUGUAUUUUAUUUACAAAACUUUUCACUCUCAAGGGAAGAUGUUCUGUGAAGAUUAAAGGAACAACUUUGCAACAUGUGGCUGGGUCCUCAUUCCGUACAUUUUCGAGUCCUCCCCUGGAGCUGGCCCCUCUCCCAGCACUCCCAGCUGAGGCCCAUUUCAUCUGAGGAGCCCCUCUGGGGCCACUGCAUGACUUCCCAUCUAAGAGAAGCUUCCUCUGCAUCCUUCUACAUGUUCCAUAACCUCCCUGGAUCCUUUCAAUGUGAAGUCUGAACUUCUAUCUGCCAAGAGUAAGGGGAGCCAGCCCCACAACCUAUUAUAGUUUAGCUCCUAGCCCCAGUCUGCUUACUUCUGGCUCAUAUAAUAGUAAUCGAUGCAUGUGUCUCCCCAUUUCUGACUCCAUUACCCCCAUCCCAUAUUUUCCCUUCCCUCCCUGUCUCCAUUCCCCACAUAGCUCCCAUGUUUCUUGAUCUGUCUGUUCAUUCCUCUGUUUCUAUACACACACAUGCAUGUGCACAUACUUGUAUACACACACCUCAAUAACUUAUGUACCAGAAACUAAAACAGCAAGUGCCAUUUAAAAUACCCUAUCAUGAGUUUAGAUUCCCC
rnacentral:lncRNA from 1 species